UACGUAGGGGGCGAGCGUUGUCCGGAAUCAUUGGGCGUAAAGCGCGUGUAGGCGGCCCGGUAAGUCCGCUGUGAAAGUCCAGGGCUCAACCCUGGGAUGCCGGUGGAUACUGUCGGGCUCGAGUCCGGAAGAGGCGAGUGGAAUUCCUGGUGUAGCGGUGAAAUGCGCAGAUAUCAGGAGGAACACCAAUUGCGAAGGCAGCUCGCUGGGACGUAACUGACGCUGAGGAGCGAAAGCAUGGGGAGCGAACAGG
rnacentral:rRNA from 1 species